rnacentral:tRNA from 1 species
AGAGCGCACCCCUGAUAAGGGUGAGGUCGGUGGUUCAAGUCCACUCAGGCCUA